GAUGAACGCUAGCGGCAGGCUUAAUACAUGCAAGUCGAACGGUAAGUUUGGUAGCAAUAUCAAACCAAGAGUGACGUACGGGUGCGUAACACGUAUGCAACCUACCUUGUACAGGAGUAUAGCUCGGGGAAACUCGAUUAACCCUCCAUGAGAUCAUAGAAUGGCAUCAUUUAGUGAUUAAACUCAGGUGGUACAAGAUGGGCAUGCGUCUGANAGUUUAGUUGGCGGGGUAA
rnacentral:rRNA from 1 species